CCAAAAACACUACACAUAAUCUUGUAGAUUACAAUCUGCAACUAGACGGAUGUACUGUUACUUCCUCUACAGUCAGAAAUCUGGGUGUUAUAUUAGACAGCAAUUUGUCUUUUGAAAAUCAUAUUUCCAAUGUUACAAAAACUGCAUUCUUCCAUCUUAGAAACAUUGCCAAGCUAUGAAACAUGUUAUCUGUUUCUGAUGCAGAAAAGCUAGUUCAUGCAUUCAUGACCUCUAGACUGGACUAUUGUAAUGCACUUCUAGGUGGUUGUCCUGCUUCGUCAAUAAACAAGCUACAGGUCGUCCAAAAUGCAGCAGCUAGAGUCCUUACGAGGUCAAGAAAAUAUGAUCAUAUUACCCCAAUUUUACAGUCUCUGCACUGGCUACCUAUUAAGUUCCGCAUCAGUUACAAAUUAUCAUUACUUACCUAUAAGGCCCUAAAUGGUUUAGCUCCAGCGUACCUAACUAGCCUUCUACCACGCUACAACCCAUCACGCACCCUAAGGUCACAAAACGCUGGACUUUUGGUAGUUCCUAGGAUAGCAAAGUCCACUAAAGGAGGUAGAGCCUUCUCACAUUUGGCUCCCAAACUCUGGAAUAGCCUUCCUGAUAAUGUUCGGGGUUCAGACACACUCUCUUUGUUUAAAUCUAGAUUAAAAACACAUCUCUUUCGCCAAGCAUUCGAAUAAUGUAUCUUUUUAAUUGUGAGUGUAGUUGCAUCUGAUCAAAGGUGCAUUUUUAUUCAUUAGCUUGGGUUAAACUAAUUUUACUUUGUUGGAUCAGCAGCUAUGCUAAUGAUGUCUGUAUUUUGUUUCUAUGUUUUGCCACGGGAUUCACAUCCCGUGGUAACUAGGAUUUACACAAGCUCCAGUCUGGAUCCAGAACACCUGAGAAGAGAUGAUGCUGACCAUCAGAGGACCUCAGAUGAUGCUAACCCUGAAUGAACAAACAGAACUAACAAUUAUUCCUAAAUGUGUGACUGAAUCAUAUAAUAACUUAAUUAAUAAUAUUGAUAGUUCAUCGUCUAGCUGACUACGUCUUGUAUUAUUAUUAUUUUUUAGUUUUUCUAAAAUCCUGUCAAAUGUGCACAAACUACUAGCUACUACUAAAUAUUGUAGAAACAUAAUUUUCUGUAAAGUUGCUUUGUAACGAUUUGUUUUGUAAAAAGCGCUAUACAAAUAAACUUGAAUUGAAUUGAAUUGAA